rnacentral:rRNA from 1 species
GUGAGUCAUCGAAUCUUUGAACGCAUCUUGCGCUCCUUAGUAUUCUGAGGAGCAUGCCUGUUUGAGUGUCAUUAAAUUCUCAACUACAUCUCUUUGAUGUGGCUUGGAUAGUGGGGGUUAUUAUUUGCAGGCUUUUGAAAAGAAGUCAGCUCCCCUGAAAUGAAUUAGUGGUAUCUAAGCAGAGACUACUAUAGGUGUGAUAAUUAUUUUAUGCCUUUGUAUACUGCAAUACACUGCUUCUAAUGACUUUUGUUAUUGACCAAUUUGACCUCAAAUCAGGUAGGACUACCCGCUGAACUUAA